UACGGAGGGUGCGAGCGUUAAUCGGAAUUACUGGGCGUAAAGCGCACGCAGGCGGUUUGUUAAGCUAGAUGUGAAAGCCCCGGGCUCAGCCUGGGAUGGUCAUUUAGAACUGGCAGACUAGAGUCUUGGAGAGGGGAGUGGAAUUCCAGGUGUAGCGGUGAAAUGCGUAGAUAUCUGGAGGAACAUCAGUGGCGAAGGCGACUCCCUGGCCAAAGACUGACGCUCAUGUGCGAAAGUGUGGG
rnacentral:rRNA from 1 species